AUGAAGCACAAGCUACUGAAGGGGUCCUCACUCUACACUGUAAGCCAGGGCAUUGUUGCUAUUCUGGAAAGCUAUCAAUCAAGUACCUUAAAUUCUUGUGAACAAGGUGCCGUGUACAAUAUCAGCUCUGAUAGAUACAAGGAGAUACUGAAUACACUUGAUCUUAGAAAGGACUUCUUUUUCAGUUACUCAUACCAUAUCAUGACAAGUCUUCAAAAAACUUGAGUGAUCCACAGGAAGGCUGGAGCGUAUAUGAGUCAACUUUUGUGUGGAAUGAAUGUGUUACACAAGGGAUACACAAUUUUCUUGGAAGUACUUUGUGGACCGUUGCGUUGGUCUAUGGAUUUUUUAAGCAGGAUAGAAUUUCAAUAUCUGCGAAGGACAUCAUGUUCACACUCAUUGCUAGACGCUCUAGGCAUUUUGCUGGAACCAGAUAUUUAAAGAUGGGGGUGAAUGAGAAAGGCUGAGUAGCAAAUGAUGCUGAGACUGAGCAAAUUGUGUAUGGAGCUAGACCUUGGCCUACAGAAGCAAGUUCUGUUGUGCAAAACAGAGGUUCAAUCCCUCUAUUUUGGUCAGAGGAGACAUCAAAGAUGAACAAUUAACCUGAUAUUAUACUGGAUCAGAAGGGCGAGAAUUAAGAAGCUACUAGGCUCCAUUUUGAGAAUCCUAGGAGAAGAUAUGGAGAUCCUAUCAUUUUUUUUAGACUUGAUUAAGGUUAGUUUGACCUUGUUAUUCCAGAGUAGCAGCAUCUUGUGUAACAUUUAUAUACCUGGACAUGAAUGAUAUUUUGGAAUGCCUUCUCACAUUUAUUUUUGUUGUUCACAUGGGAAAAAACGUGAGAGGCGAGAGUCAAUACUUCGUCGUGAAUUUGAUAUGGUGUUAAGGAUAAUAAACAAGAGCAUACCAGCCGAAAAUCAUUUGAGGUUCUUGCAUUGGGAUCUUCAUGAAAACUCCCUAGAAAACCUAUAAAUGUGCUUGAUGUUCUUUUAAAAGUGGCGUUCCGUGCUCUGAGGUUGACUGAGUUCUAUAGUGUGCUUGAUGUUCUUUUGAAAGUGGCGUUCCGUGCACCACCUACCAGGUCUGAUACUGCUCAUCAUUGGCCUUCCCAAUUGUAUUUUUUUCCUUCCCAAUAUUAAUUUGUCCGUUACGAUUUCUGUUGCGUUAUAUGUCAAAUAUUAAUCAUCAUGUGGUGAUCAUGGAUUAAAUUAGGAACAAUGGUUUAAUUGGGUUAUUCUAGGGAGAAGUGAUAUUCGUUGGUUGUCACGGCUGCCUGGAAGGGAAUUACAGCAUUUGAUUUUUAGAUUUAAUAGCUUAAGUAUCAUUUGGGCUCACUAAAGUGCUUCCUUUUUCUUAUCUUUCAGACUUUUACUAUGAAUUAUUUAACACGCAUAAAAGAACUUUUCUUGGAUGAUUUUUUUUAUUAUGAAAUCAACAUUUAUAUUGACAAACCUGCUUAGCUUCAGUUGGACAAUGAUAAGCUGCAGUAAGGCUCUUUCUCAUUGAAGGACAUUGGUAGAUUCUGCACGGCUGUUCUAUUACUAAACUCAGUAGAGAAUAUAUUUGCCCUUUUGCUUGACAUCACAUCUUUUAUUUUCUCUGUUUCAUAUGGUGUUUUGUUUCUCAUUUUAGCUGAACAUAUGUCUAAUUUAUUUGUACCGUGAUCUUUUUCUGAAGAUAUUCUCUGCAAAGAGAGGUCAUCCGAAGCAUGGUUAAAAAACAGUAAGUAGCAAAAAAAUCAUGGCACAUGAGUCAGUGGUACGCAGUAGCAAAAACAUAGUUAGGAGUUGCAUUGCUGUUUUGCUAUUCCAAAACGUUUAUGAAUUGUAGCAGGAUGUUUGUUCCUAUUUAAACGAGAGCUUUUAGCCAUUUAUUACCUUUUGUCGCUUCCCUGCUGGUUAUGUUCGAAGAAAACAAAAAAAAUCCUUAUUGAAAUAUGCACUUUGUAAAACAGUACGGGGUUCUUAUACUCUUUUCUUUAAUAACACAGUACAAUAAAAAGAGAGAUAUCAUAUGGCAGCAUUCUUUGUGAAAGCAACACAUCCAUAUCUGGAUGUAGUGGUUGCCAUAAUGAAGACGUCAGUUGUUGAAUGCAACACCGCUUGAUGUUAAAAGUGGGUCACAAUUUCCAGUAUUGGAAUCUGGUUCAGUACAUGGCAAUGAAAUUUCAUUGACUUGUGAAAGUGAGGUAUCAAACUUAAGGUAUACACACCCAUGGUACCUCAGAUACAUCAUGUUCCAGGCAUUGAAACUGAAAGUUGCAUUCAUUCAAGUGAUUCAAACAAUGGAUCUUGAAUGGCUUUCAACUUCAGGCAACUUAAGCGAUGAAAGGUGUUUACUUUUGCAUUGCUAUUGUAUUUUUUUUAGCGUUUUCGACUGAUAGAAUAUCAUCUUCAUAGUGGCAGUCAAUUUGAUGUACACACAUUUUCUUUGCCUUAGUGUAGGGAAAAGUGAAGGAUAAUAAUUAUUGAGAAAAUCCAUAAAAUGCCAUUGACAAGCACCCUAA